rnacentral:rRNA from 1 species
UACGGAGGACCCGAGCGUUAUCCGGAUUUAUUGGGUUUAAAGGGUGCGUAGGCGGCCUAUUAAGUCAGGGGUGAAAGACGGUAGCUUAACUAUCGCAGUGCCUUUGAUACUGAUAGGCUUGAAUGUACUUGAGGUAGGCGGAAUGUGACAAGUAGCGGUGAAAUGCAUAGAUAUGUCACAGAACACCAAUCGCGAAGGCAGCUUACUAAAGUAUGAUUGACGCUGAGGCACGAAAGCGUGGGGAUCAAACAGG